AUGGGUAUCGGGCGCGGCAAAGGUUUGCCCCAUACAUGCCCUCCUCAUUUUUAUUUCAGACUUUGCUAGAGGAGGAAGCCUUACGUAGUCUUUCUUCUCGACUCUUCUUUGCGAUUCGAUUUUGACGGAAGUCAAAAAUCUCCGAACGACUCUACCUCACCUAAGAGUGAGCUAGAAAUAAAUCCCAAGCUUAACAGAAGACACAGACACGCGGCGUAGUUGGAAGGACGUUUUCACCGUUAGAGUUUAGGUUAACGUUGUCGUUACAGAACGUCACGGAAUUUUAAAAUUUGAAAUUGCGUCGCCCGUUUUCUUUUGCUGUGGUUGAAGCGUUAUCUGUUAAUUAACUCUAUAAAGGAAAUUAACUUAUAUAAUUGUUGUUUAAAAAAAAGCUAUAUCUUUAUUACUAUUGUAGAAUCAGAAAUAAUUUUACUAUUUAACAUUCAAGCCUCAAUUGAACAAGUUGGAUUAUAACUCGCAAGAAAAUAUCUUUUUAAGAAAUAUAUAAUCAAAUCCGCUGCUUCAUUACGUUUCGAUAAAAGGGAUCAGAGAUCUUCAUCGUCUGUGCGGAAAAA
rnacentral:lncRNA from 1 species